CCUACGGGAGGCAGCAGUGGGGAAUAUUGCACAAUGGGCGAAAGCCUGAUGCAGCGACGCCGCGUGAGUGAAGAAGGAUCUCGGUACGUAAAGCUCUAUCAGCAGGGAAGAAAGUUACGGUACCUGACUAGCCCUCCCCGGCUAACUCCGUGCCAGCAGCCGCGGUCUUACGGAGGGGGCAAGCGUUAUCCGGAUUUACUGGGUGUAAAGGGAGCGUGGACGGCAGCACAAGUCUGGUGUGAAAUCCCGGGGCUCAACCCCGGAACUGCUUUGGAAACUGUGCGGCUGGAGUGCAGGAGGGGUAAGCGGAAUUCCUAGUGUAGCGGUGAAAUGCGUAGAUAUUAGGAGGAACACCGGUGGCGAAGGCGGCUUACUGGACUGUAACUGACGUUGAGGCUCGAAAGCGUGGGGAGCAAACAGGAUUAGAUACCCGUGUAGUC
rnacentral:rRNA from 1 species